GUUAAAAAGAUCUCAUAUUACGGCUUCUGCAAUGGAUGAAGAGGAAAUGUUAAGAUUUCUGAAUGACGAGAAUGAAGAAAAUGAUGAAAGUACUGCUUCAUGUAGUACCUACAUAUCCAAAAUUGAUAAAAAUAUUUUAAUAUCUGUGUCAGUUCAGGGCAUUCCUUCAUUUUUUACUAAAAUGGAAAAACUAUACAAGGCAGAAAAAGAUGAAGGGAAACUGGUGAGACAUCUUUUAGCUUCAACAAAGAACAGUGGAGGUCAAACUAAAUUAUUACAUAAUUUUAUUAAUUGCUUGUCAGCCUUUUUUAAAGAAAUUACUUCAGCGGGCAAAACUGAAAAAGAUCAACAAAAAAGAGAAAUAAAAUUGGAAAAAAAAUUUACUGAAAUGAGAUGUUCUGGUAUACAUUAUGUGAAUGUAAGUAAAGUCUGGCACCAAGUAUGUUCGGCACAUGCAGCCUAUGACACAUCUGUCCGAAACAGUAUCCUGCAAUUGAUGCUACAACAUUUCUGGGCUUCUGGUUUCAAGUUGAAUAGAAUUAACAACAACAUGUCUACAACAUCCCAUACCUAUGUGACAAACCCAGAUGAAACUGAAACAGAAACCAUUCUCGAUCAUGCCGGGUGGGCGAUAAAAAGAGCAAGAGACGUCAUAAAGAAGGGGGCUGAAAACUUGCAGCUAACGCAAAGUAAUGAUCCAGACUCACCACUCAUUAAUGCUAAUAAAACCACUGCCUUGACAAUCAUAAAAGAAUUAGGGGACGAUGUUGCCCAACAUGAUGGAACACACAGAUUUAAAGUACAUGACAAGGCUAGUUCUUUUUUCACUUACCUCCAUAUUCGAGUAGAAGAUCACCUGCAUGAAAACAUGGUCUCUGAGAGAGGCGAUGUGCUCCGGGAAUGCUUAGAGGCCUUGUCACUAGACAAGGAUUUAAGAACAAAAUGGA